CAUAGCGACUAUCGUGGCAUAUCAAUAAGCGGAGGAAAAGAAACUAACAAGGAUUCCCUUAGUAACGGCGAGUGAAGCGGGAAGAGCUCAAAUUUGAAAUCUUCAAGGUUCUACCUUGACGAAUUGUAGUUUAUAGAAGUGUUUUCUGUUAGUAGAGUGGCAAAAGUUCUUUGGAAUAGGACAUCAUAGAGGGUGAGAAUCCCGUAUUUGGAUCAUCUUUCUACUAGCUUUGUGAUACACUUUCAAAGAGUCGGAUUGUUUGGGAAUGCAGUCCAAAAUGGGUGGUAAAUUUCAUCUAAAGCUAAAUAUUGGCGAGAGACCGAUAGCGAACAAGUACCGUGAGGGAAAGAUGAAAAGAACUUUGAAAAGAGAGUUAAACAGUACGUGAAAUUGUCAAAAGGGAAGCGUUUGACACCAGUGUUGUUUUUCCGAAAAUCAAUUACGAAUGUUUUGUUUUUGAGAGAGUUAUGACUUCAUCGGCUUGCUUCUCUCUUUAUGAAACUUUCUUAAUGCACUUUUCGGUUAACAAGUCAACAUCAAUUUCUUUUGUUGUAAAAGGGUAUGAGGAAGGUGGCUUUCUUUUCGGAGAAAGUGUUUAUAGCCUUUGAGCCUCUGCAAUCCGGAGAGACUGAGGUCUGCAGCGUAGACUCUUCGGGGUUAGAUACAGUUUGUGCUAAGCUAUAGCUUUUCAUAGACAACUUGUUGACUAUAGUUUAGUCUUGUAGCUUACUCGCUGAUGCUAUUUUACCUACGCUUAGGAUGUUGAUAUGCAUGACUGAUAU
rnacentral:rRNA from 1 species